AGUAACACGUGAAUUAUCUACCUCCGAGUGGGGAAUAACCUAGAGAAAUCUGGGCUAAUACCGCAUAACACUUACGAGUCAAAGCAGCAAUGCGCUUGAGGAGGAGUUCGCGGCCGAUUAGCUAGUUGGCGGGGUAAUGGCCCACCAAGGGCGAUGAUCGGUAUCCGGCCUGAGAGGGCGCACGGACACACUGGAACUGAAACACGGUCCAGACUCCUACGGGAGGCAGCAGUGGGGAAUUUUGCGCAAUGGGGGAAACCCUGACGCAGCAACGCCGCGUGGAGGAUGAAGUAUCUUGGUACGUAAACUCCUUUCGAUGGGGAAGAUAAUGACGGUACCCAUAGAAGAAGCCCCGGCUAACUUCGUGCCAGCAGCCGCGGUAAUACGAGGGGGGCAAGCGUUGUUCGGAUUUAUUGGGCGUAAAGGGUGCGUAAGCGGUU
rnacentral:rRNA from 1 species